AGCUAAUUAAGAUGCCGCCAGACAUAAAAGAUCGAUCUUUAGAUAUAUUUUACGAUUUAAAUUUUAAUACUGGCUGGGUUUGGUAUUACUGGCUGGUUUCCUUGUGUAGAGGGAGAGAUUGAAGAUUAAAUCAUAUGAACAAUAUUCGUUUUUCCUGUUUACUUAAUUUCUCUAUUCAUGACAAAGAAAAGAAAAAAACAAGGUUAGAAUCACCAUUGAUUGAUGUUGUAAUGAAAGUUGGUGGUAAAUAUAAUUUUAUCUCAAAAAGAAUAAAUGAAUUAAUUACAUAAAACACCCAUACAUUGAUUAAUUGAUACAUGCAUGAAUUCAUGUGCCUCUGGAAGCUCGAUUGUUGCAAUUAAUAAAUGAUUGUUUGGUUUCUGUUGUUGUCACAACUCACAAGAUCGAAUCGAAUUUAAAGAAAAGAUUGUUGUGUGAUGCAUAGUUGCAUGAUGUAUCAGUUGUCUUGUCACUUGUCAACAACAUGCAUAACUGACAACAGACAGCCACCAGCACAUAGAAAUCAAGGUAUCAUAUAUAAACGAGUAUCGACGACGACGACGGGAUAAUCUUGACCUAAAACAGCCACAAUCAAGGAGUUUAAAAAUGAAUUGGGGAAGAACACUAACUAACUUUAAAAGCAGUUAAUCGCAUUCAAUUGAGAUUAUAAGUAUUAUUUAUUAGUAAACUCACUGUCUGGAUAAUUAAAUUAUUUACUGGACUCAAUUGUAUUAACCCAUUAUAAGAUUUAUGUUUUUUUAUUCGUACUGGGCUAUGAUGUUUAUUCAUGUGCACUCAGUCUUGACCCAUUUCUGUCGGGUUUGGACAUGCAUAAGGUCUUACUGAUACUCGAUCCAUGGUCAACUGCAAUCUUUUUAUUGAAAUUGAAAGUAGAAAAUAAUUAAAUAUGAUACUAAAUUAUUGAUUAUCCAAUCUUUUCAUCAGAUUUAAUUAAAACUUACCAAUUAAAUCAAAUUAUAGUAAAUGAUACCAACAACAAAUUAAAAUAAUUUUCAGAUGAACACAGAUAGAUGCUAUUACUCUAGAGUCUAGACUAGACAAAAUCAGCAAGUCAAACAUUGAAUGGUACACAUACCUACCUAUACACAUUACAAUAUUCAAAUAUUAAUAAAGGUAUGUUUAUGAUAAUGCAGGGAUAUUAAUCAAUCUUAUAUGUUUUGAAGGAUAAUUGAAAAUUGCAUGAAUAGCAAAUAUGAUCGAUCACAUGGUUCAUAUAUAUGUAUGAAGAGUUAUUGAAUAGUUUUCCAUCGCAAUUGAGUCCAGUAAUAAGAAUCAUGGGUCGUUGCAUAAUAAUAAUGAUGGACCUCAAAUCACUAGAAGAAAUCAAACUCAUCCAUUUACCAAUUUUAGUCGAAAUCUCUUCCAUUUACCAAUCUUCGGAGAAAUAGUUAAAUGAUGAGGGUUCCCUUAAAAGUGUCGAAUUAGUCAAUGGCUAACCAAUCGAUCGUUCGACUUCACAAUGCAGGAGCAUUACCUGCAGCGGAUCAUUCGACUUAACAAUGCAGGAGCAUUAUCAGCCGAUGGUUCGACUUUACAAUGUCAGGAGCAUUACCAGUCGAUAGGUCCGAAAGCUCUGGAUGUUUGGUCACACACUCCACUCCUUCGCUCUGAAAGAGGUCGGUCACUUGGUAUUCAAUAUAUUGAAUAAGGGAUUUUCCACUAUUUAUAAACUUUUUGAAGGGCAGAUUGGUUAUUUCACCCUGACGGAUAGGCCUGUCAAUCAGACGAAUUCGGUCCGGAUACCCCUGUAUCCGAAUUCGUCUGAUUAUUAUUCGAAUUUCAAAUUACGUAUUCGAAUUCGAUUCGAAUAACAUUUACAAAAAAUUAAAAAAAAUAAUAUUUUACUUAUUUUUUUAAUAAAAACCCUUGUAAUAUUUUAAACAUAACAUUUUAACAUAUAAAUUCAACACAAUACAGAUUAUAAAAUUAUUAUAUAUUUAUAUAUUUAUUCGAAUAUAUUUAUAUAUUUAUAAAAGUAUUCGAAUUCGAAUUUGUUUAGCUUCGGAUAGUAUUUUAAGUAUCCGAAUUCGAUUAAGCUUAAACGAAUUCGAAUUUGAAAUAGAAUUCGAAUACGAAUUUCGGAUAUCCAUUGACAGGACUACUGACGGAGGGCAAAAUGGUAUUUUCCUUGGAUGUUUAGUUACCUGGAUAGUCAGACUCAAUCUCGACCGACUGAGAUGGGGCCGAUCCGUCGACCGUCCUAGAAGACCUUCGACCAAAGUCCAGGACCGACUAAGACUCCGGUCGAUCGGGCCAAUCGACCUGUAAUCUAGUCGAUUUCCCAAUUGUAGUCUGAUUCUCAAUUAACUCCGUUACUAGCCUAUAAACAUGAAAGGAUUCGUUAAAUCUAGGUUAAGAGCUUUCUUGAGCUUCCGUUGUCUCAAGCCUUUUUCUAAGGCUCUUGAGGUCCUAUUUUGCGGGUCAUACUCUCGGUACAAGUCAGGAUCUGGU
rnacentral:lncRNA from 1 species